rnacentral:rRNA from 1 species
CCUACGGGUGGCAGCAGUGGGGAAUAUUGGGCAAUGGGCGCAAGCCUGACCCAGCAACGCCGCGUGAAGGAAGAAGGCUUUCGGGUUGUAAACUUCUUUUGUCAGGGACGAAGCCAGUGACGGUACCGGACGAAUAAGCCACGCCUAACUAUGUGACCGCAGCCCCGGUAAUACGUAGGGGGCAAGCGUUAUCCGGAUUUACUGUGUGUAAAGGGCGUGUAGGCGGGACUGCAAGUCAGAUGUGAAAACCAAGGCCGCAACCUGUGGACUGCAUUUGAAACUGUAGUUCUUGAGUACAGGAGAGGCAGACGGAAUUCGUAGUGUAGCGGUGAAAUGCGUAGAUAUUAGGAGGAGCACCAGUGGCGAAGGCGGUCUGCUGGACAGCAACUGACGCUGAGGCGCGAAAGCGUGGGGAGCAAACAGGAUUAGAUACCCUAGUAGUC